AUUAUUCUUCAGAGUCAGAGAAAUGGCUACAGUGAGCAGGUUUCUUUCCUCCUUCUAAGAACAGGACAUGAGAGAACUGAAGCUUAAGGAGGAGCUGAAAGAUCAGGGUUAGAUCUUAGAAGGAACUUCCCGAUGUCUGUGGACACUUCCUGAAAUGCAUGGAUGAGGCUUCAAGACACCAUCAUUGCUGCCAUCAUUUCCGCUACCAAUGAGUGCCUGCAAUAUGCAGUCUUUUAAAUACAUCAUAUCCAUGCCUCUGUUUUACAGAUGGGAAAACCAAGGGACGGAGAAGAAAAGCGACUUGCCCAUGUCUCAUGGCCCCAGGAACUCAAAAUCGAGGCGAGAUCUUUCUCAUCCGGGCUGCUUCUCCCAGCCCAAGAACAAAGCUGGACAGUGAGUGGCUUGGUUGCUUGUAUAACGGUGUGGGAUCAUAUAAGGCCAAUACUAAUGAUCUCAGAGAGCUAUCGAAAGAGAAUUAAAAAGAAAAAAAAAGGUUGGGGGAGAAGAAAUCGAUGAAGUACCUUUAGCUCCUUGGAGAUAAGCGAUAUAUAAAUACCAGCCAUUAUUAAGGUUCUUAUCUGACAGCAAGGUCUACGAAGCUGUUUUUAAGAGCAGCUUUUGAAGGAAGUUGUGCAUGAACCUUUGUCUCCUGGGAGCUGAGGCCAGUGUUGGGGCGAAGCUGCGCAGGGCCACCAGGGACUGGGGAGGAAGAAAAUCACAGGGCACCCAGGAACUCCUCCCUGAGCCCAACUCUGCCGCUCGGGGGGAAGGAGAUGCACACCACACUCCCCACUGUGCAGAUAAUAGAAACCACAAAGUAGCAAUUACUGUAUCAGAAGCUGUGAAUAAAGAGGACAUACCGGGCUUUUAAACACAGCCCUCCUUCCCUCCCCCACCAGGCUCACACUUCGGUAACAAACUCACACCUCACUUUUCCAAUUAUUUCAUUCACCCUGGGUUCACCAAUUACUCCCCCACCCUGCAGCCCCACCCCCUCUGCCAUGCCAGGAACAUGAUUGGUGGUGGGUUUGUGGGUUUUCCACAACUAGAGUUUGUUGUCACGUUUCUAAUUUCUUUUGAGGUGUGUGGUGGGGGGAGAGAAGGGAGGAGGGGGGAGGAGGUGGGAUGGGGCUCCGAGGUGUUGCAUGAGGCAAGCCAAUUAUGCCCAGCACUCAUAAACAAGUCGGGGGAUGGAAAUCGUGUUUGCACACAGGCCUGAAGGCAGACACAAUACGUGUGUCUGUGUGUGUGUGUGUGUGUGUGUGUGGGGCCAGCGUAUGGGUGGGUGGGGAUUUCCUCUCUCCGUGCAAAUUGCGUGCCCCCUGACUGGUCUUGCCCCAGCCCUGGCCAGCAGCUGCUACCGAAAAGGGAUGAAUCAUCUUGGGUCUCUCUCUCCCUCCCUGACUGAAGCGACAGGCUCAGGGGGAAAGAAGUGAGAGGAAGGCUGGAGCAGAGGAAGCGAGAACCCUCCAGAGAUGCGGAGCUGGACAGUUUUGCAGCUGUGCUGGUACCUGGAGCCUGGGCAGGCUGGGAGUCCUGCUUAACCCCACAGCCUGCAUGCUGGCACCAAGUGGGGGUCAAACCUAGGGCCUUCUGCUCCCAGGACAUAAGUCCCCCUCACUAUUCGGAUCUGCUGGAAGAACCAGAAUCCCAGCAGAAGUGCUGAGUCAUGUGGGGGAGUUUGCUGGCAUAACUUCUCCCCACCUGCACCCAAGGCAUUGUUGAGAAAAGAAAGUCUGCUGCCACCUAAGAGACCCAGAAUCAGAACAACGGUGUGAUCUGAACAAGAUGAAGGGGUGGUUUCAUGAUAAGAAUAAACUACAAGCUUCUUCUGCUCCUUCUAGAGAUGCUCAAGAAGACUAUGGGAUAAAGCCACUUAUCUCAACUGAUAAAGGUAUAGAGCUGAGGAUGCCUGAUCUUUGCUUACUGCUCCCCUGGCCCCAUCCUAAAGAAGGGCCCCACCAGUGAACUUAUGGACCCAUGGAACCAUUCCCACUGAGCAAGAAAUAUGGUAAGAUGGCAGCUGCCUUGCAUGGUGUCCUGUCUCACAUUCCUCUUCCCUUACAGAGUUCCCAUGUGGCCAAGGGCCCCAGUUGUGGCAAGUUGGAGAGAUAGACCAACUGCACAGCUAGGAACAAACCUAUCCCUUCAUCUAUAAUGGGCAAUUUCUGUAGUGGAGGGAGGCUUGGGAACAGAACUAUCAUCUAAAAUUCUCACUUUUCCUGAGAUACAUACAAACUAAAGCCUUUGGUGAGGGCUUGUCUCAAGCCUGUCUCAUCCAACUCUCUAACAGAGGCUAAUCCAAUCAGUCUGGUGGGUUUCAAUGGGUACUAGUGCCCCAAGUUUCACAAAUAUGUGCUAGUCAUCGCCACUCCCACAGUGGGUUUCAAUGGCUACUACUGUCCCCAGUUUCAUGAAUAUCUGUCAGUCAUCACCAUUCCCACAGUGGGUUUCAAUGGCCACUACUGCCUGGAGUUCUGUGUGUAUGUGCCAGUCAUCAUCUCUUCCAAAUUGCUUAACUCUCUAAUGGUUUUUGCAUCCUUAGAAUAAUUUCUGAGCUCCUUACUUGGGAAUCAAGGCUGUGCCUGAUCAGACAUACUUUUCUUGCUCUCCAAUCUUAUCUCAUGCCCUGCACCCCCUCAUUUACUAUGAAGAAUCCACACUGGCUUUCCCCAUUCCCUGAACCCACCAAACGUAUGCUUACCUCAGGGCCUUUGCACUUGCUUUUUGUAUCACCUGGAACCCUGCUUGCCUAGAUGUUUUCACAAUUGACUCUUUCUUGCCAUUCAAUUCUCAGCUGAAAUGCCACCUCCUCAAAGAGGCCUUCUGUGACCAUCCUAUCUAACGUUGCCUCCUUUGCACACCCACCCCUGCCUGUCACAUCUGAGCACUGUCUGAAAUGGCUUGUUUACUUAUUUAUCUUUCCUCUCAUUUUGCUAGAGACUGAAAGUGGACUCCAAGAUGUCAUGGCUCUUAUACUCUGUUGUGUCUACAGAACCUGAGACUGUGUCUAGCACUCAGAAAACACUGUAUCCAUUCAUUUAAUCAUGAAUUCAUCAUCUAUUGACAUCUCCCCGAGUGCCAGGUCCCUAUACUUCUCAUGCAUUAUCUCAUAUAACUGUAUGUUCUUGUGGAAGCAUAGUCACACUUGGGGGCAACAUAUUCAGUCUUUCUGUCCCAUAGGAUGAUGCUCUUUUAUGCAGUGCAACCAUAUGCUAUUACAAGGAGCAUUUGGUCCUCAAGAAUCAACACUCUUUCCAAAGUAUCCAUGUUUAUUCCUUCCAGGCAAUGAAUCAUCACAGCAAGAAAAAAAAAAAGGGGGCAGGGGGGCCAGCUAGAUCAUUUACCAAGGGAAUACUGUCUGGAUAAUGAUGUUCAAAUCAUGUGCUGCUUGGUGGGAACGAGAAGACACUGGCUCCUUCACAGGCAACCCUGGCCAAGAUGCAGACACAAAUAAGGAGUUUCAGCAUGGUUUGCCCUGCACUGAGAUGUUUUCUCUCCCGCAGAAGGUUAUGUUGAUGAGUGUGUACAAAGUGCAGGGUCAAGCCUGCUCUGACAAGAGGCAAUGGCUUUGGAAGCCAUUUAAUGGAGGCAUAUUUAGGAGUGGAGUUUCUUCCUCUUCUGUUCUUGCUCUCCCUUCUUAGAGUGCCUUUUAGACUGAACUUCUCCAGCUACUGCUCAUCAUGGUGAGAGCCAGGUGUAGAAAGGUUACCUUAUCACCAUCAACGCAAUAUUCCCUUUCAUUUUUGCCUCCUGGAGGCUGAAAAAUGGCCUAGAUUCCAAGAAAGUGAAAAAAAGAGGUGUGGAGGAGGGCCUUUAGCUUUUCUCAAUAGCGUUUCCUUGGGGUCCUUUCCAGGCAAGCAUGACCCUCUCUCAUUUUCUAGAUGAGAAAUCCCAGGGAUGAGCACUUAAAUGGUAUUUCUAAAUCAGAGUCAGGGCCUGCGUUUCAGAUGGAACCCACAGACUCUCCUGAGAGGCUCUGGAUGGGGCGGAUUUGGCAUGCAAAAAGUAGGCUCCUGGCCUGGCUCUGCCCUCACCAACUGGGUGAACCUGGGCAAAUCAUUUCCAGCCUGGACUGAUACCUGGACUGGUAGCAUCAGCAUCACCAGGGAGCUUGUCAAAAAUGCAAUGUUCUGCCCUCCUCUUGUCUUUCUGGAUCAGCUCAGGGGCUGCACCAAGCCCUCUAGGUGAGUGUGGGCCUGCUCAGGGUUGAGGUCCACUGCCCCACUGGAAGGGACAGGGGCCACUCAGCCCCAAGCUAGAUAGCCAGGUGGACAUCUGGGCCCAGGACUAGCAGAUCUUCCCCUUCUUCCAAAGAAGCUAGUGGUCCAGAUUAUUUUAAGAAAUGAGAUUUUAAAAUAUUGGUAACAAAGUCAAGACACCGUGUUGCCAAAAACAACAGAAGGAGUCUGUGGGCUGCCUUGGGUACCACGUCCUACAUUUGGGCUCCAUUCUGAUUUUGGUUUCAAGAGAUCAUAAGAGCUGGUCUAUAUCCCUAAAUAAGGAAUCCUCUUACCUCCUUAUGACCUGGGGUUAGGUCUUGGGACAAGCAACAGGGUCUUUCUGACCUCUCCUUUGGCCCCUGCAGCCUACCAGCCCUCUCAGUUGUGUUCACAUCAUGUAGCCUCUGCAGGAUUCUAAGCUCCUUGGGGACAGAGAGGGUCUUGCCAUGGCAAUUUGCUGCACAGCAUCUACCUCAGAUGUGAACACAUUUGUGGCUACACUUAAUGAAUGAAUUGAAUCAUCCCUCGCCAAUCUCCAGCACCGAAAUCACAAUUUGAAGCUUGGUAGGAAUUUUCAUGGGACUCAUCAUUCAGAUACUAUGGAUCCUGCAAUCAUCACCAGGCAAAUAUUUCCCAAGCAUAUCCUCUGUGCAGGCACCAAGCUCUGGGCUGGGAAAGAAAUGUGGACCUGAUGUGCUCCGGCCUCCAGGGGGCGUGGAUUUUAAGCCGGUGGUUUUCAAUCCCCUCCAACCCAGGGUUGGUGCACACUCUCAGCAAAAUAGUUUUCAGCAUGCAUCUCCAAUAUAUGUACAGUUUAAAACUGAUAAAUAAUAUGCAUAUGUACUGCUAUUUCAUUCUCUUUGUAAAUCUUUAAAUAAAAAUUAGGAAAUUUAAGGCCA